GAUCAUGGCUCAGAUUGAACGCUGGCGGCAGGCCUAACACAUGCAAGUCUAACGGUAACAGAAAGCAGCUUGCUGCUUUGCUGACGAGUGGCGGACGGGUGAGUAAUGUCUGGGAAACUGCCUGAUGGAGGGGGAUAACUACUGGAAACGGUAGCUAAUACCGCAUAACGUCGCAAGACCAAAGAGGGGGACCUCGGCGUCUGUCCACUCGGAGUGUUGCCCACGAUGGGAGUUAGU
rnacentral:rRNA from 1 species